rnacentral:lncRNA from 1 species
UUUUUUUAAGAUUUUAUUUAUUUAUUCAUGAGAGACACAGAGAGAGAGAGGCAGAGACACAGGCAGAGGGAGAAGCAGGCUCCAUGGAGGGACCCCGAUGCGGGACUUGAUCCUGGGACUCCAGGAUCACACCCUGGGCUGAAGGCAGGGCUAAACCGCUGAGCCACCGGGGCUGCCCUGUACAUAUACAUUUAUUAGUUUUCUUUUACUUGUGAAUGCAAAUUGGUGGUAACACAAGAAAAGCAGGAGUACCUUCUGUGUGGAUAUUGGCACGAUUAUCUUCCCAUGGAUAAAAGGGAGUAAAAGUCAUACUGGCUAUGAAAUCAUCUUCUCUUCAAAAUGUCUGAUGACUCAGAGAUAAGUCUGUACUAAACAUCUUCUGUUCAAAAUACACAAUGAAUAAGGAUAAGAGUAUAAGUAUAAUAAGAAUAUCUGAUUAGGGGGGGAAAAGUGAAGCAUAUUCCUACCAUAUGACCCAGCCACUCUACUCCUUGAUAGAUCCCCAAGUAGUUCAGAGUCCUGUACACAACUGCUUUCAACAGCUCUAAGAGCCAAUCCCAGAAAUUAUCUAAACAUGCGUGAACAGCUGCAUAGACAUUGUGGUGCAUCCACAACAAUAUCAAUGGAAUGUUAUUCCACAAUAAAAAGGAAAGAACUGAUAUAUACAACAGGAUAGAUGAAUCUUUAAAAAAAAUUAUGCUGAAUGAUACCAAACCAAAAACAAAAAACAAAAAAGAAUACAUGCUAUGCCAUUCCAUUUGCAAAAAAUUUUAAGAAUGCAAAUAAUCCAUAGUGACAUAGUGAAAUGUGGGAGGUGAUGGACACAUUUACUGGAUUGAUCCUGGUUGAGUUUCUCAGAUGUAAACACAUGGCAAAACAUCAAAUUCACUACUUUGAAUGUGUGCAGUUGAGUCUAUGUCAGUAAAGCUAUACAGGGUUUUGGGGGGGGGUUGUCUUUUAGUGAGAAAUAAAGGGAGAGAGAGCACAGGAUGGGCAGAGGGAGAGAGACUCUCCAGCAGACUCCCCACUGAGGACAGAGUGUGACACAGGGCUCAAUCUCAUGACCCUGAGAUCACGACUUGGGCUGAAACCAGGAGUCAGAUGCUCAACUAACUGAGCCCCCCAGGCACCCCAUCAAUAAAGCUGUUUUUAACAAAAAGUGACCCCAGGAUCAAGGAAGACCUGGAUCCUACAACUGGAACAAGCUCCAGCGCCCCUGUGCAGGGAACACAAGUAAGCUUUUCCAGAGCCUAGGACCAGGGCUUUCUGCAAGCUCCAAAUGCAACUUUACCAAGAUGAUCAGAGCAGCCUGCCUCUGCCCUUUGCACCCUCACACACCUCUUCCCCACUCACCCCCCAUAUUUAAACAGAAGCUGAGAGAUACCUUGGUGCACUUAUGAAAAGUCCAGCUCUACCCCAGCCCCACAGUGAGAACAUUUAUAUAAUUCAAUAGUUCUCAGAACAAUAACGCACACAGAUCUAUUUUUCUAUGUACACAGAGUCCUACCAGAGAUUCGAGUGGUGUGAUUCUGUUUCCUGCUUCCAUGCCACAGUGGGCAUCACUGAGGGUCCCUGCAUCUGUUAAAUGAAGUUUGGCUUCGUGUAACAGGAAACUCCAUCACUGACGUAUAUGGCUUUACUCUUCCACUUUACUGGAGACUAGAGGUAAAGAGUGGAGAGCUGUGUGGCAGCUCUGCAAAGUCUUCAGGGUCUCAGCCUCCUGCUGUCUCCGUAGGCACAUGGCCUCCAUCCCUGCAGUUACAUGAUGUCUGCUAGGGAACUGUGAUCCAGCCAGCAGGAGCGGGAAGGAGAAGAGGCAAAGGGAGGAGCUCUGAUUGUCCCACAAGGCAACAGUGGUGCUGCUCAAAGGAGGAAGAGGGCAAUGAGCAGCAGGUCAGGUGCCCGGCUAUUUGGAGUCAAAAAGAUGGUGGUCACUGAAACCAAUUCUGGGAUGGCACACAUGCUAUCUUGUACCCUCAAGGGUGUACCCUAAAAGAACCAAUCCCUGGAGUUGAAACAUGUCCUCUGGGUCAAAGGACCAACAAUUGAGCAUGUUGCUACAAUUUUCUCCCCCUGAAGAAUGGGUGCCAAGGAGCUCCACAGCCGUGUUCAGUCCCAUCCUUCAGGGCAAGGGUGGGAAGGCGCUCCCCUCUGUGUGGAUCCAGCUGAGGCUCUGGCCCUGAUAACCCUGCCCAUUGCUCCAGGCUACUCAGCACCUGGGGUUUGUGGGCUGCCAGUGGAGAGCUGGGUUCAGGGGCACAGUCAAGCAAGGGUGUCUGCUGUCCCAGAGCACACACGCCAACAGUGGUGCUCAACCAGUCUUAAAGCGUAGGUAUGUCAUCACCCAGGGCCUGCUGACUGGGGAAGGACAUGCUGGGAUCAGACAGCAGGAGGCAUCAGGAGGUGCUGGUUCUCAGCAGACUUGUGAGGGCGUGGCUCGUCCCCUGGAACCCCUGCACUGAGCUCACCCCUGGGGGCCAGGCACCUGCUCCAGGACCAGCUCCCACCCGGUGGGGCCACCAUCAUGAUCAAAGUCAGAGUGGAUCCGGCCACACCAUGCUCACUCGAAGUGUGUGAACACAGGAGAAGGGGCAGGGGUCCCCGGGAACACCCCGCCCUCCAGGUCUCCUGCCCCAGUGGUACUUCAGUGACAAGUAAUAAACUAAUACAUUCCUUUUCAUUUAAAACAGAUUUCAGAGAGAAGUGAAAGGUAUGAAGAAAAAGAAGUCCCCUCUUCCCCAGACUGGAGGCGCUCCUUACACAGUUCUGGGACAUCUUUGCAUAUAUUUUCUGUCCAAAUGUAUUUGCCAGGGAACGUUACUUAUAAAUACUUCAAUUAAAAACAACUAACGUCUGAACUACCUCUUGCAUUGUUGACAUUAAAAGUAGGGAAGGAUCCAAGCCACAGGGAGCCGCUGGCCCAGGUGCAGUCUCCAGUAUGGCCACCAGGUGUCAGAACCACCAACGGAAUUCCCACACUUGGACUGGGAAGCUUCAGGAACAGUCAGGCUGGGAAUGGCACCAAGACCCCCACCUGGCAUCCUUUGGCCCUUUGACCCAAUAUUUCGUCUCCUACGAAGGAAGGGAGGGGGGAGUAAGUAUUGCUGCAAAAGCCAAUUAACUUCUCAGAGCACAGAUUCCCAUUUAGUUGGGUAGCCUUGGAUCCUUCCAGAAGCUGCUGAAACGCUGUGGGAUUCCCUUGGGAAGCAUGAGGCGGGCCUCCCACAGCUGUGAGGCACUUCUAGAAGCCAGGGCCACCUCCCCACCUAGCUGGAGAGCUGAGAAGUGUGAGCUCAGAGGGGUAUACACAGGGGAGGGAUCGGCCACAGCCAUCCUGGUCUGUACGCGGCCCUCCUCCGAUUUAGCCUCAGGUCAUGGCCUCUGGGUCGCUGCCAGUUGAGCCCCUCACCGUGCUGGCCUGGCCUUGUCUGGAGCCACUGACCUAGGAAACUGUCGCCCUGCUGGAGCAGACCUCAGGCAUGGGGGUGGAAACACUGCUCCUCCUGUAGUAUACCUGCCACCACACUCAGGGACAGUGGACUCGCUGCAAGGGGCUCCAAGCAGGGCCCCCACAAGCCUCAUCCUGUAACUCCUGAUCACUAGAGGGGUGUGGAAGCAGGUACAACACUAAUGGGGUCAAGGGGCACAGUGACCAUGGCUGCAGAGGGAUAGACCCCUCCCCAAGAGGGCACCAUGGCAGAGUGUCCAAGGGACGGAUGGGGUCCUUGUCACAUGUGCCAGCUAGCAUGAGUAUGGGCUGCUUCCUGGGCCACAUCCCAUUUCUGGCCAGGGGUCCAGGGAAGGGUUCCCACAGGGCCUAGUCCCACUGCUCAGGGAUGGAGCUUUCCUACGUAGAAUAGUGCCACAUGUGGGAGCAGGUAGGAGGCGGGGUACAGAGAGGGAGGGGUAGGAAGGGUUCAAUGCUCCCAGACGAUGUUCUCGAUAUCCAGGUACGACCCCAGAUUUGUGAUUUCCAUGCAUUCUGACAGGCAGGUGAAGGCGACUUUUUUCUGUGAUUUGAAUGACCUCAUCCACUAAACUGGUACAUCCUACACAGGUCACAGGGAGCAACAGUAAUUAUUUAACUCACUGUACACCUUACAUUCACAUAUAUCACUUAAAAUAAUACACCUGUGCUGCCAUACACAUAAUAAAAAUGGCAAUUAUCAUUAAAACAUAGGUAGCAUUUAUAUUCAGAUAUGACUGUGUAUGUUGAUACUCCAUGUUUCAAGCACAAUAUACAAGCCAAAUGCUUUAUUUAAAAAGAAAGAAGGAUAAAACAAUGUCUAUAUUGGGACCCACAUUCAUUUACCAUGACUGGUAUAACAGCCGUUGCUUUGAUGUGGCCAACACUGGUCUGGCCAUUGAGGAGUUUUUCCAUUACCCUAUGACAUAUGAUAUAAGAGGUAUGGUACUGAAAGAAUCUCUAUAAUGCUGACCAGACCACCCCCUUGAUCAUGGCAAAGGGAGCAGUCUCUCUGAGCCAAGGGAAGGGGCCUUUGCACAGCCCCAUAAUCUGCUCUGGGUCCGUCUACCUCAAGGAAGCCAGGUUAAUGAGGCCUCCCCUCCAGGCACUGUAACUCGGUAACUCCUGGAUAAUCCUGGUAAGUCAAAGAGCCUCCCAGGCCCCUGAUAAGUCUAGCUAUUAAUCACUCAUUCUACUUGGUCGGGCCACUCACGUGACAAGGUUACACAAGGCUCAGACAGACUCCACUGGUCAAGGUGUAUCUUGAGAUCCCCAAGCUUCCAGGUCUCUGGGAAAAAAGUAACCAAUGGAGUCUCAGGGGUGGGAAGGGAUGGGGUUCAGGCCCCCACCCGCCUCGCUGAAUCAAAUACCUGCUUACCACACACACCCUCCAGGUCAACCAUGCUUUGGGGGUGAGUCAGGGAGGAGGUGGGCGGUUGUGUUCAGUUUUGCCAGGUGUCUGGUACCCUAAUGACCAUGACUCCUCCCUCUACUUAAUCCUUCCUGUACAGAGUCUCCACCUCCAAGCCCUGUACUCAGCCUGGUGUCCCUGAGGCUGUUCCCCUUCCAUAAAGCAGGUAAGGAAAUCAUCCACAUGAACACACAAAAACAGAUGACUUCCUGAAUCACACCUGAGCUUGGGUGCAGUUUGGGUGCAGAGUAAGGCCAAGCUACAAGCUCAGAGGUCACUGACUAUAAUUAUCCCUCCCAUAAGGGCAGCCAUCCUUACCUGUAGCCAAGCAGCUUCUGAGGCCAUGACAAAUAGCCGUGCCGGUCGAAACCCCAGAGGAAGCAUUCCUCAGCAUGUCUCCCGGCCCAAGCGUCAGGGACGGGCACCAGAAGAGUCAACAGACUAAACCAAUAGAAACAAGAGAGAACUGGUUCUCCUGCUCUCUAGAUGGCUCAUGACAUUUCAAUUAUGUGCAGCACAAUAUAGCUGAAUUAUUUUUAACCUUUAUGGAGCCUCCGCUUCACAAAAGAAAUAUUAGUUGGUGGAGUUCAAGGACAGCUGGAGGCAGAGACCAGAAAGAAGGUCACGAGCAGGAGUGAGCCCGUCAGCGGCCCUGCGUACAGGAUAGGUAAAGCAUGCCACCUUUUGUUCAGGGAAUCAUGAGUGUGGUGCGUUCUGGGUGUUGCUUAUUUGCAAUUUAUUUCUCCAAGUAAUACAGUAUAUGUCCUUGAGGCAACAUCAGUGUCUCGUCAGCAAAUGGCAGAGGAGCCCUCAGCUCUGACUCCCCCAGUAGCUCUGCUGCCAGGAUGGACAGUGGAACGGAUGGAGCUAAUUCUGCCGAAAGUCUAUGUGAAGAGUUCCCAAAGCACAGUCUUUUGAACAAGUUCACUCAUGAUCUAAACAAACUAAUCUUCCUUUUAGUAGCUCUGCUGUGGGGUGAGGGGAGAGAAGGGUCCCAUGUCCUCUUCUUGUUCCACUUUCUCCAUGAAAAUCUCCUUUCAAAACUUGUCUAAGAUACACUGCAACCUCCCAGUGAAAAGACAUACCCAAAGCUCUUCUGAUUACAAUGGUAUCAAGAGUUGCAACUUCCAAUGCCUACAGGUGCCAAUAGGUCUAUCCCAUAAGAUCAUCUUGAACUGUAUUCUUCUGGCCCUGAAACACUUUAAUUUUGGAAUACCCAUUUGUCUUGAAAUACAGCCCGUGUCUGACAGAAACAUGGAUAUGAGAGAGAGUUCACUUAAUUCUACUAUCAGAGAUAUGACACCACAAGUUUGACCCUAAAUGGCAGCUGGCCAUGAACUUUGACAUUCGGGAGGAUGCAGAGAGCAGCGUACACCAAGCUGAGCUGGAACGCACAUCACCUGCAUAAAAGCAGAAGCCACCAUUAACGCCAACCGUUAGUCUUGCAGAAGCAUGGGCUCAGCACUUUGCAAAGAAACCAGAAAUCCAGAUCCUUGCAUGUAAUCUCCCAGUGUUUAAAUAUGGACUAUUAGCUUAAAAAAAAAAAAAAAAAAA